rnacentral:rRNA from 1 species
AGAGUUUGAUCAUGGCUCAGGAUGAACGCUGGCGGCGUGCUUAACACAUGCAAGUCGAACGGUGAAGCCCCGCUUGCGGGGUGGAUCAGUGGCGAACGGGUGAGUAACACGUGAGCAACCUGCCCCUGACUCUGGGAUAAGCGCUGGAAACGGCGUCUAAUACUGGAUACGAGACGUGAUCGCAUGGUCAACGUUUGGAAAGAUUUUUCGGUUGGGGAUGGGCUCGCGGCCUAUCAGCUUGUUGGUGAGGUAAUGGCUCACCAAGGCGUCGACGGGUAGCCGGCCUGAGAGGGUGACCGGCCACACUGGGACUGAGACACGGCCCAGACUCCUACGGGAGGCAGCAGUGGGGAAUAUUGCACAAUGGGCGCAAGCCUGAUGCAGCAACGCCGCGUGAGGGAUGACGGCCUUCGGGUUGUAAACCUCUUUUAGCAAGGAAGGAGCGAGAGUGACGGUACCUGCAGAAAAAGCACCGGCUAACUACGUGCCAGCAGCCGCGGUAAUACGUAGGGUGCAAGCGUUAUCCGGAAUUAUUGGGCGUAAAGAGCUCGUAGGCGGUUUGUCGCGUCUGCUGUGAAAUCUGGGGGCUCAACCCCCAGCCUGCAGUGGGUACGGGCAGACUAGAGUGCGGUAGGGGAGAUUGGAAUUCCUGGUGUAGCGGUGGAAUGCGCAGAUAUCAGGAGGAACACCGAUGGCGAAGGCAGAUCUCUGGGCCGUAACUGACGCUGAGGAGCGAAAGGGUGGGGAGCAAACAGGCUUAGAUACCCUGGUAGUCC